rnacentral:rRNA from 1 species
UGGGGUGCUCGAGUGGCGAACGGGUGAGUAACACGUGAGUAACCUGCCCUUGACUUUGGGAUAACUUCAGGAAACUGGGGCUAAUACCGGAUAGGAGCUCCUGCUGCAUGGUGGGGGUUGGAAAGUUUCGGCGGUUGGGGAUGGACUCGCGGCUUAUCAGCUUGUUGGUGGGGUAGUGGCUUACCAAGGCUUUGACGGGUAGCCGGACUGAGAGGUUGGUCGGCCACAUUGGGACUGAGAUACGGCCCAG